ACAACACCUGAAGUCAGCGAAGGAUUUUCGAAGAAAGGAUUCCCGAGAAGAGGUUUUUUGGAGCGAAGCGAGCGUAUAUUCAAGAAAGCAUUACCUACCAGGACAAAUGGACUGCAAAUAUGCUGUCUGAUCACGUAUAAUCGGCAAGUAUAAUCUUACAUAAUUAAUAUUACGUUAUCUAUACAUAAAUAACUUUCUUCACAGAUGGACGAGGAAGAAGAAGAAGAACAGAAAGAGGAAAUGAAAAAGAAAGAGGAUAGAAGAAACAGGAGAAAGAGGUAUAAGGAACGAAGUCGGAUAAAAGGGAAGAGAAAGGAGAAUCCGAGGCCGUCAGCG